rnacentral:lncRNA from 1 species
UUCCUGCUGUAAAGCCUCUGCUAAGGCUCAGGAGCUGCUUCUUCUCUGCCUGUGAUCUGUGACCUGGUGCUGGGAUUUGGACCUGUUGCCUCCAUCAGACAGGGAACAGUCUCUAAAGUUGGAGAGAAAUUCCCAAUGCAGUAAAGAACCAAUGCAUUAACUCAGAGAAGGGGCAGCAGAAGGAAAGCCUGGAGCCACUGCCCACCCUGCAACUGGAAAAGGGUUUGAGCAGCAGAGAUGCAAGAGAAAGAAAAAACACACCUCUCUCAGAUGGCUGCAAAGAGAAGGUCUCUGCAGUCACUUCUCAAACACUGAAGAUAUUCUCAUUUAAAAAUAUCCACUUAAAGGAAACAGGAGGGGAAAAAAAGAAAAUCUGCUUCUCAAAUGUCAAGGACUUGAAAGACUAAAAAUACAUCACCGGAAUAAAUAAAUUAACCCAGCCA